rnacentral:ncRNA from 1 species
UUAAAUGUAAUGAUGAGGACAACAGUAUUCCUUUACGGUUCCCAGAGAGGAAAGAUUUGGUGAAACUUUCCAACACGAAAUGAGUACUUACCACCUCUAAACUUCAACUGCGAAAGAGCAUUCUAUUAGUAGUUGACGGAACCAUUCCGUUAAAAAUGAUCCGAAGUCAUAUCAUAUUUCUGAUAUGUAAACUAGGGUGGAACCACGUGUAUAUAGCUCGUCCCUUUC